UACGUAGGGUGCGAGCGUUAAUCGGAAUUACUGGGCGUAAAGCGUGCGCAGGCGGUUCGUGAUGUCUGGUGUGAAAGCCCCCGGGCUUAACCUGGGAAUUGCAUUGGAAACUAGCGGGCUGGAGUGUGGCAGAGGGGGGUGGAAUUCCACGUGUAGCAGUGAAAUGCGUAGAGAUGUGGAGGAACACCGAUGGCGAAGGCAGCCCCCUGGGCUAACACUGACGCUCAUGCACGAAAGCGUGGGGAGCAAACAGG
rnacentral:rRNA from 1 species